GACGUAGGGCGCGAGCGUUGUCCGGAUUUAUUGGGCGUAAAGAGCUCGUAGGCGGCUUGUCGCGUCGUCCGUGAAAACCUGCGGCUCAACUGCAGGCUGGCGGUCGAUACGGGCAGGCUGGAGUUCGGUAGGGGAGACUGGAAUUCCUGGUGUAGCGGUGAAAUGCGCAGAUAUCAGGAGGAACACCGGUGGCGAAGGCGGGUCUCUGGACAGUUCCUGACGCUGAGGCGCGAAGGCCAGGGGAGCAAACGGG
rnacentral:rRNA from 1 species